rnacentral:lncRNA from 1 species
AGCGGCGGGGCGAAGGGCUCCUCAAGCGCGGCCAGAGUGGACGCCGAGGCCGAGGAGGCACGGAGAGCGAGCAAGGGCUGCCUGCACGCUGUCACCUCUCAUUAAGGUUUUGGUAUGAAGAUGAUGCUGGUCUCAUAGAUGAUGAUGCUGGUCUCAUAGAAUGAGAUGGAGAGGAGUCCCUAUUCUUCAAUUUUUUGGAAUAGUUUCAGUAGGAUUUGUACCAGCUAUUCUUUCAAUAUCUACUAGAAUUCGGCUGUGAAUCCAUCUAGUCCUUGGCAUUUUUGUUUGACUCCCCGUGGAACAGAGUUGUUGUUCAGCAGAAAUAAUCAAGAGUUGACAUCAUACCAGACCUCGGGACUCAACAAUAAACCAGACCAGUAUGGCUCUAUCUUCAUGAAGAACAUACACAAUAAUUCAGGACUCACAGAAGUCGAUGAGCAGAACACAGAAGACUCAACCUGAAGAAAUUCCAUAUACGUGCUACUCCUGUAGGCACAAGCAAGAAAAAAUAUUCAAGGAUAAGAGUUUCAUGAGAGUAGAAGUCUUAAUCCAUGAACCUGGAAAAAGAUAUUCACAUCAAGGAUGGCACCCUUCUCCUGGGAGAAACCUCCCUGGGUAAUACUGAUCUCAUAUUGUGAAUUGUUUGAGAUUUGAAGAAUGGAUUAAAGAGAAAAUGAUUGUGCCCGUAGACCAAUGAAGAGACUGUUGCAAUAACUCAGUGCAACUGCCACCAAAAUGUAAAAUUUUCAUAAAAAUCCUUACAGGGAAGACCUGUAAGGUUGAACCCUCCAAUACAAUAGAAAAUGUAAAGGCCAAGAUCUAGCAUGAGGAAGGAAUUCCUCCUGAUCAGCCAAGACCGAUCUUUACUGGUAAGCAACUGGAAGAUGGGGGCACUUUGACUAGGACAUUAAAAAUAAGUCCGCUCUUCAUCUUGUGCUGAGACUUCCUGGUGGUGCCGAGAAAAGGAAGAAGCCUUGUACCACUUCCAAGUAGAAUAAGCAUAAGAGAAAGGUUAGGCUGGCUCUCCUGAAAUAGUAUAAGGUAGAUAAGAAUGGCAAAAUUAAUCACCUUCAAUGCCCUUCAGAUGAAUGCAGUACUGAAGUUUUCAUGGCCAUUCACUUUAAUAGACAUUAUUGUGGCAAAUGUGGCCUGACUUACUGCUUCAGCAAACCAGAAGACAAGUAA